GAUGAACGCUGGCGGCGUGCCUAAUACAUGCAAGUCGAGCGAACAGAUGAGGAGCUUGCUCCUCUGACGUUAGCGGCGGACGGGUGAGUAACACGUGGAUAACCUACCUAUAAGACUGGGAUAACUUCGGGAAACCGGAGCUAAUACCGGAUAAUAUAUUGAACCGCAUGGUUCAAUAGUGAAAGACGGUUUUGCUGUCACUUAUAGAUGGAUCCGCGCCGCAUUAGCUAGUUGGUAAGGUAACGGCUUACCAAGGCAACGAUGCGUAGCCGACCUGAGAGGGGGAUCGGCCACACUGGAACUGAGACACGGUCCAGACUACUACGGGAGGCAGCAGUAGGGAAUCUUCCGCAAUGGGCGAAAGCCUGACGGAGCAACGCGGCGUGAGUGAUGAAGGUCUUCGGAUCGUAAAACUCUGUUAUUAGGGAAGAACAAAUGUGUAAGUAACUAUGCACGUCUUGACGGUACCUAAUCAGAAAGCCACGGCUAACUACGUG
rnacentral:rRNA from 1 species